AUUGAACGCUGGCGGCAUGCCUUACACAUGCAAGUCGAACGGCAGCACGGGAGCAAUCCUGGUGGCGAGUGGCGAACGGGUGAGUAAUAUAUCGGAACGUGCCCAGUCGUGGGGGAUAACGUAGCGAAAGCUACGCUAAUACCGCAUACGAUCUAUGGAUGAAAGCGGGGGAUCGCAAGACCUCGCGCGAUUGGAGCGACCGAUAUCAGAUUAGGUAGUUGGUGGGGUAAAGGCUCACCAAGCCAACGAUCUGUAGCUGGUCUGAGAGGACGACCAGCCACACUGGAACUGAGACACGGUCCAGACUCCUACGGGAGGCAGCAGUGGGGAAUUUUGGACAAUGGACGCAAGUCUGAUCAGCCAUUCCGCGUGCAGGA
rnacentral:rRNA from 1 species